AGCAGCCGCGGUAAUUCCAGCUCCAAUAGCGUAUAUUAAAGUUGUUGCAGUUAAAAAGCUCGUAGUUGAAUUUCGGGAUUGACACAUCGGUCGUGCCUUAAGGGGUAUGAACUGGUGUAGUCAAUUUCUCACCUUCUGGAGAACCGCAAUGCCCUUAAUUGGGUGUCGCGGGGAACCAGGACCUUUACUUUGAAAAAUUAGAGUGUUUAAAGCAGGCAUUUUGCUUGAAUACAUUAGCAUGGAAUAAUAAAAUAGGACGGCAUGAUUCUAUUUUGUUGGUUUCUAGGAUCACCGUAAUGAUUAAUAGGGAUAGUUGGGGGCAUUAGUAUUCAAUUGUCAGAGGUGAAAUUCUUGGAUUUAUUGAAGACUAACUACUGCGAAAGCAUUUGCCAAGGAUGUUUUCAUUAAUCAAGAACGAAAGUUAGGGGAUCGAAGACGAUCAGAUACCGUCGUAGUCCUAACCAUAAACUAUGCCGACUAGGGAUCGGAUGAUGUUAAUUUUUUAAUGU
rnacentral:rRNA from 1 species